CUUCACGGGGAGGAGCGAAGAGGGAAUGCGGUGCGGGGCAAAAGCCUCAAGUCCGCGGCUGUCCCCGCAACUGUGAGCGGCGAGCCAAGGCCGAGAGCCACUGGGGUUUUCCCGGGAAGGCGGCACCGAGGCACCGACCCGCGAGCCAGGAGACCUGCCGUCUGACC
rnacentral:ncRNA from 1 species